GAUGAACGCUGGCGGCGUGCCUAAUACAUGCAAGUCGAGCGAACGGACGAGAAGCUUGCUUCUCUGAUGUUAGCGGCGGACGGGUGAGUAACACGUGGAUAACCUACCUAUAAGACUGGGAUAACUUCGGGAAGCCGGAGCUAAUACCGGAUAAUCUUUUGAACCGCAUGGUUCAAAAGUGAAAGACGGUCUUGCUGUCACUUAUAGAUGGAUCCGCGCUGCAUUAGCUAGUUGGUAAGGUAACGGCUUACCAAGGCAACGAUGCAUAGCCGACCUGAGAGGGUGAUCGGCCACACUGGAACUGAGACACGGUCCAGACUCCUACGGGAGGCAGCAGUAGGGAAUCUUCCGCAAUGGGCGAAAGCCUGACGGAGCAACGCCGCGUGAGUGAUGAAGGUCUCCGGAUCGUAAAACUCUGUUAUUAGGGAAGAACAUAUGUGUAAGUAACUGUGCACAUCUUGACGGUACCUAAUCAGAAAGCCACGGCUAACUACGUG
rnacentral:rRNA from 1 species